rnacentral:tRNA from 1 species
GCCGAGAUAGCUCAGUUGGGAGAGCGUCAGACUGAAGAUCUGAAGGUCCCUGGUUCAAAACCAUCCAAGAAACAUGAACUGUCCGGGUCUCGGCA